GAUGAACGCUGGCGGCGUGCCUAAUACAUGCAAGUCGUACGGAAAGGCCCUUCGGGUACUCGAGUGGCGGACGGCUGAGUAACGCGUGGGAACGUGCCCCAAAGUGAGGGAUAACGCACCGAAAGGUGUGCUAAUACCGCAUAUGGUCUUCGGAUUAAAGCUUCGGCGCUUUGGGAGCGGCCCGCGUACGAUUAGAUAGUUGGUGAGGUAAUGGCUCACCAAGUCGACGCACGUUAGCUGGUCUGAGAGGAUGAUCAGCCAGACUGGGACUGAGACACGGCCCAGACUCCUACGGGAGGCAGCAGUAAGGAAUCUUCCACAAUGGGGGCAACCUUGAUGGAGCAACGCCGCGUGCAGGAUGAAGGUUUUCGGAUCGUAAACUGCUUUUAUAAGUGAAGAAUAUGACGGUAACUUAUGAAUAAGGAUCGGCUAACUACGUGCCAGCAGCCGCCGUAA
rnacentral:rRNA from 1 species